rnacentral:misc_RNA from 1 species
AAAAUGUUGCUGCUGGGUUUCUUCAUUCAGCUUGCGUUGAUGCAAAUGGCUCCAUUUUUGUAUUUGGUGAAAGAGCAAUUGGUAGAUUGGGUUUUGGAGAGGCAAAUAAUGCUGCAACACCAUCCAUGAUAGCUGAAUGCCCAUGGUCCAAUGAAGUUGCAUGUGGUGGAUAUCACACAUGUGUUAUCACAAGUGGUGGAGAACUGUAUGCUUGGGGAUCCAACGAAAAUGGUUGCCUUGGUGUCGGCAGUUCUACUAACGCCUUUCAUUUCCCAGANAGGUCCUUUUUCAAGAUCUCCGGUUGAAAAGGUUUCCUGUGGUUGGAAGCACACAGCUGCAAUUUCUGAAGGCAACAUCUACACCUGGGGUUGGGGAGGUUCUCAUGGAACAUUUUCUGAAGAUGGGCAUUCUUCUGGCGGACAAUUGGGCCAUGGGAGUGAUGUCGACUACGGGAACCCCACAAUGGUCACAUUUGAAAAGAAUGUGAAAGCUCUGCAAGUGUCUUGUGGAUUCAAUCACACAGGUGCCAUACUUGAGAGCGCUGAAACUUAGGCCAGUCUCUUCUUUUGUGCAUGCAUGUC